CUACGGGCCGCUGCAGUGAGGAAUAUUGGUCAAUGGAGGCAACUCUGAACCAGCCAUGCCGCGUGAAGGAUGACGGCCCUAUGGGUUGUAAACUUCUUUUGAAUAGGAAGAAACUUAUCUACGUGUAGAUAACUGACGGUACUAUUAGAAUAAGGAUCGGCUAACUCCGUGCCAGCAGCCGCGGUAAUACGGAGGAUCCAAGCGUUAUCCGGAUUCAUUGGGUUUAAAGGGUCCGUAGGCGGGUCUUUAAGUCAGGGGUGAAAGCCGACAGCUCAACUGUCGAACUGCCAUUGAUACUGGAGACCUUGAGUACAAAUGAAGUAGGCGGAAUGAGUCAUGUAGCGGUGAAAUGCAUAGAUAUGACUCAGAACACCGAUUGCGAAGGCAGCUUACUAACAUGUAACUGACGCUGAGGGACGAAAGCGUGGGGAGCGAACAGGAUUAGAUACCCGGGUAGUC
rnacentral:rRNA from 1 species